UACAGAGGGUGCGAGCGUUAAUCGGAAUUACUGGGCGUAAAGCGCACGUAGGCGGCUUUGUAAGUUAGAGGUGAAAGCCCGGGGCUCAACUCCGGAAUUGCCUUUAAGACUGCAUCGCUAGAAUUGUGGAGAGGUAAGUGGAAUUCCGAGUGUAGAAGUGAAAUUCGUAGAUAUUCGGAAGAACACCAGUGGCGAAGGCGACUUACUGGACACAUAUUGACGCUGAGGUGCGAAAGCGUGGGGAGCAAACAGG
rnacentral:rRNA from 1 species